rnacentral:rRNA from 1 species
AUUGAACGCUGGCGGCAGGCCUAACACAUGCAAGUCGAACGGUAGCACAGAGAGCUUGCUCUCGGGUGACGAGUGGCGGACGGGUGAGUAAUGUCUGGGAAACUGCCCGAUGGAGGGGGAUAACUACUGGAAACGGUAGCUAAUACCGCAUAACGUCGCAAGACCAAAGUGGGGGACCUUCGGGCCUCACACCAUCGGAUGUGCCCAGAUGGGAUUAGCUAGUAGGUGGGGUAAUGGCUCACCUAGGCGACGAUCCCUAGCUGGUCUGAGAGGAUGACCAGCCACACGGGAACUGAGACACGGUCCAGACUCCUACGGGAGGCAGCAGUGGGGAAUAUUGCACAAUGGGCGCAAGCCUGAUGCAGCCAUGCCGCGUGUAUGAAGAAGGCCUUCGGGUUGUAAAGUACUUUCAGCGGGGAGGAAGGCGGUGGAGUUAAUAACUUCACCGAUUGACGUUACCCGCAGAAGAAGCACCGGCUAACUCCGUGCCAGCCGCCGCCGUAA